UCCCUGUCUUUGUCUACACAGUAUGGAA
rnacentral:piRNA from 1 species